rnacentral:misc_RNA from 1 species
GAAGUUCUUAGUAAAAUCCUUCAACUUGGAUAAUUCUGGGCCAAUGUCAAUAUCAGGACAAUUCAUCAGAAUAGACAAGAUUGCUUGAGUUGCACAAGCAUUGUUAAUUACCUGACUCGCAAAAAAUAGAUUUGGGUUGGGAUCCUUAAUAACAAGACGAUCAUCUUUGUCCCCUGGACGCCAUUUGAAUAGAAAUAUCAACCCAUAUAUAGGCCUCAUAUUGUUAAGAGAGUGGAGGUCCAACGAAUACAACUCUUCAAC